CCGGCGCACGGGUGAGUAACACGUAUCCAACCUGCCGUCUACUCUUGGACAGCCUUCUGAAAGGAAGAUUAAUACAAGAUGGCAUCAUGAGUCCGCAUGUUCACAUGAUUAAAGGUAUUCCGGUAGACGAUGGGGAUGCGUUCCAUUAGGUUGUUGGCGGGGUAACGGCCCACCAAGCCUUCGAUGGAUAGGGGUUCUGAGAGGAAGGUCCCCCACAUUGGAACUGAGACACGGUCCAAACUCCUACGGGAGGCAGCAUG
rnacentral:rRNA from 1 species